UACGGAGGGUGCAAGCGUUGUCCGGAUUCAUUGGGCGUAAAGCGAGUGUAGGCGGUUUGACAAGUCGAAUGUGAAAUCCCAGGGCCCAACCCUGGAACUGCAUCCGAUACUGUCUAGCUAGAGUCCCGGAGAGGGUGGCGGAAUUCCCGGUGUAGGGGUGAAAUCCGUAGAUAUCGGGAGGAACACCAGUGGCGAAGGCGGCCACCUGGACGGUGACUGACGCUGAGACUCGAAAGCGUGGGUAGCAAACAGGAUUAGAUACCCGGGUAGU
rnacentral:rRNA from 1 species